rnacentral:rRNA from 1 species
CAGUACGAGAGGAACACUUCGUUCAGAUACUUGGUAAAUGCGGCUAGCUGAAAAGCUAAUACCGCGAAGCUAUCAUCUGUUGGAUUACGACUGAACGCCUCUAAGUCGGAAUCCAUGCUGGCUAAGCAGUGUUGUCCACCGCCUCCAUUGUUACAUGACAAGCAUUA